UUUUUUUUUUUUUUUUUUUUGAGACAGAGUCUCACUCAUUCUGUCGCCCAGGCUGGAGUGCAGUGGCGUGAUCUCAGCUCACUGCAACCUCCACCUCCCGGAUUCAAGCGAUUCUCCUGCCUCAGCCUCCUGAGUAGCUGGGACUACAGGCCCUCCCUCCGUUGCCCAGGUGGGAGUGCAGUGGUGUGAUGUCAGUUCACUGCAACCUUGGCCUCCCGGAUUCAAGCGAUUCUCCUGCCUUAACCUUCCGAACAUGGAUCCCUGAGGUCGGUCCCCAAUACGACAAGACAAUUUGAUAUCAUAAUAGAACACUGCAGAAACAAUGCUGAGUGAAGAAGAGUAGAAAUGGGAAGACUUGGUUGAGCGGAAACUGAGUUCUUGAAAAGAGGAGAUGCUUGAUGAGGAUGGAGUCUUGCUCUGUCGCCCAGCCUGGAGUGCAGCAGCACGAUCUCAGCUCACUGCAUCCUCCGUCUCCCAGGUUGAAGGGAUUCUCUUGUCUCAGCCUCCCGAACAACUGGGACUAAAGGCAUGGAUCCCUGAGGUCUGCCCCAGUACUAUAAGACAAUUUGAUGUAAGAAAACACAGCAGAUAUAAUACUGAGUGAAGAAGAGUAUAAAUGAGAAGAUUGGUUGUGCAGAUACUGAGUUCAUGAAAAGAGGAGAUGAUUGAUGAGGCCAGGUGCGGUGACUCAUGCCUGUAAUCCCUGCACUUUGGGAGGCUGCGGCGGGCGGAUCACCUGAGGUCAGGAGUUCGAGACCAGCCUGGGAGACAGAGCAUGGAAACCUAAGGUCUGUACCCAAAACUACAGGACUAUUUGACAUCAUAAUAAAACACUGCAGAUAUGAUGCUGAGUAAGAGUAGAAAUGGGAAGACUUGGUUGUGCAGUAACUGAGUUCUUGAAAAGAGGAGAUGCUUGAUGAGGGCAUGGAUCACUAAGGUCUGUUCCCAAUACAAGAAGACUCUUUGACAUCAUAAUAAAAUACUGCAGAUACGAUGCUGAGUGAAAAAGAGUAGAAAUGGGAAGACUUGGUUGUGCAGAAACUGAGUUCUUAAAGAGAGGAGAUACUUUAUGAGGGUCUUUAGAAAAUAACUUAACUCUUUCAAGCAAUUGCCAAUCAGAAAAUCUUGGAAUCCUCCUAUGACCUGUAAGCACCCACUUUCCCCUGCUUUAAGUCGUCCUGCCCUUCUAGACCAAACCAAUGGAUACCUCACAUGUAUUGAUUGAUGUCUUAUGUCUCUCUAAAACAUAGAAAAGAAAGCUGUAGCCCAACCACCUUGAGCACAUGUUCUCAGGACCUCUUGAGACCAUGCCUUGGGCCAUGGCUACUCAUAUUUGGCUUAGAAUAAACCUCUUCACAUAUGUUACAGUUUGGCUUUUUUAGUCAAUAUUAAUUGGCACCCUACAUAUGGGGCCUCAGAGAAGACUCAGAACCCUGAAAGAGUCACCCAAACCCAGAGCUAAGGUACCAGCAGGGGCCCAUUGAAAGCCCCCCAACUCCAAGCUUCUUCUUGAGUGAAACUGGUAAGUCCUCCUCAGCCCUGAACCUCCUGCUCAGUUGACAGUCUUCUGCUUUAUUCUGAGCUGGUUCUUUUCCUAGGAAGUUGUUGUUCAGGAUCCUAAUUUUGAUUCAGAAAGCAUUCUGAAGGAUCUUUUCCAUUGCCUCUUUCUCCCCAAAUUAAUCUCACUUGGCUUGUUUGUGCAUUUGCUUGAGAAACUGAACUGUCCCUUGUGUGAAUCAACGAGAGACUGAACUUCUCAGCUCCACUCCAUUGAAACGCAGACUACAGUUUGGUUCCUCCCUUAAAGAAAAUUAAAAAAAGGGAAACAAAUAAUCAAAGAAUGAGGAGAUACAAAGAUAACAACCCCCUUUUGGGCACGUUGUUUGGUUUUAUGAUGCCUCUACUUGCAAGCAUUUGUGUAAAUGGAAAAGUUUGAAGGCAUGCCAGGUUUUCUAAUACUCCAGCUGGUUACAUAUUAUGGUCUAUUCUUGGGCACAUUUUAAACUUGUGGCUAAAUUACAUCAAGAAAAAUUCAGAGGUCAAAAGUCAACCUGCGAAUAUAGAGUCUUUAAAGUUUUAUGUGUAUUUCUCUAUUUUCUUUUCUGCCUGCUUUAAAUCUGUUGUUACU
ensembl:lncRNA FIRRE firre intergenic repeating RNA element